CAACCCUCAAGCCCCAGUGGUUUGGUGUUGGGAAUCGUCCGCUGAGGACGUUCCCGAAAUAUAGUGGCGGACUCGCUGUGGCCUCCUCUGCGUAGUAGCACACCUCGCUCUGGAAACCCGGCGCGGCCCAAGCCGUAAAACCCCCAACUUCUGAA
rnacentral:misc_RNA from 1 species